rnacentral:rRNA from 1 species
CGCGAACGUUGGCGGCGUGCCUAACACAUGCAAGUCGUGGGGCAGCAGGCUACUGUCUUUUGGCAGUAGUGCUGGCGACCGGCAAACGGGUGAGUAACACGUAGCUUACCUACCCAUAGGUUGGGGAUAACAUCCCGAAAGGGGUGCUAAUACCCAAUAAUGAGGAGACUCCAAAGCCCUUAUGGGCGCCUAUGGAUGGGGCUGCGUCCCAUCAGCUAGUUGGUGAGGUAAUGGCUCACCAAGGCUACGACGGGUAACCGGUCUGAGAGGAUGACCGGUCACAGCGGGACUGAGACACGGCCCGCACCCCUACGGGGGGCAGCAGUGGGGAAUAUUGGGCAAUGGCCGAAAGGCUGACCCAGCGACGCCGCGUGGUGGAUGAAGCCCUUCGGGGUGUAAACACCUUUUCUGGGGGAAGAUAAUGACGGUACCCCAGGAAUAAGGGACGGCUAACUACGUGCCAGCAGCCGCGGUAAUACGUAGGUCCCGAACGUUGCGCGAAUUUACUGGGCGUAAAGGG